UACGUAGGGGCCGAGCGUUGUCCGGAGUUAUUGGGCGUAAAGCGCGCGCAGGCGGCCUCGCGCGCCCGACGUGAAAGCCCCCGGCUUAACCGGGGAGGGUCGUUGGGGACGGCGGGGCUUGAGGGCGGGAGAGGGUGGUGGAAUUCCCGGUGUAGUGGUGAAAUGCGUAGAGAUCGGGAGGAACACCCGUGGCGAAGGCGGCCACCUGGGCCGACCCUGACGCUGAGGCGCGAAGGCGUGGGGAGCGAACGGG
rnacentral:rRNA from 1 species